rnacentral:antisense_RNA from 1 species
CUUGACGGACCCCAGCCACAGCGGCCGCCCUUCCGGCCGCUCCUGUCCGUACGUCGCCAGCAGCGCCUGCGCCUC